GAGGUGACUUCUGCCCAGUGCUCUGAUUGUCACUGCGAAGAGAUUCAGCCAAGCGCGGGUAAACGGCGGGAGUAACUAUGACUCUCUUAAGGUAGCCAAAUGCCUCGUCAACCAAUUAUUGACGCGCAUGAAUGGAUCAACGAGAUUCCUGCUGUCCCUAGUUUCUGUCUGGUGAACCAACAGCCAAGGGAACGGGCUUGGAUGUGUCAGCGGGGAAAGAAGACCCUGUUGAGUUUGACUCUAGUUUGAUGCUGUGCAGCGACAUGUGGGGUGUAGCAUAGGUGGGAGGCCAGCGCCAUACUGGGUGUGCGGUCUGAGAGAGAGAGAGAGAGAGACCCUGGUGCGAACCAGCAGUGAAAUACCACUACCUUCAGCGUCGUUUUACUCAUUGAGUGGCCUGGGAGCGGCGGCCAUUGGACAUCAGGAUGCCCACCACACACGUGUGACUGGGCCAUGCUGUGGCUUAUUCCCCGAUUCGUGAGCAACGUGUGGCCUCGGCUGCACAACCCUGGGAGAGAAUGCAAUCCAAUCAGAAGCCUCAAGACACUGAUCAGUUGGGGAGUUUGGCUGGGGCGGCACGCCUGUUACAAGACAACGCAGGCGUCCUGAAGCAAUGCUCAGAUGGAACAGAAAUCUACCAGAGAGGAGCAGGCCAAAGGUGCUGCUGAUGCUGUGACUUCCAGUACAAGUCCAAAACGUGCAAGUGUGGCCUUGCGAUCCUUUGGUUAAGUGCACGAGUUUGGGAUAUUGAAGCCAGAGGUGUCAGAAAAAUUACCACAGGGAUAACUGGCUUGUGGCUGCCAAGCGUUCAAAGCGACGUCGCUUUUUGAUCCUUCGAUGUCGGCUCUUCCUAGCUUCCCACCCGCA
rnacentral:rRNA from 1 species